GAGGGGAGAGGCCAAGUGGUGAUGUCAGUGUCUCUCUUUUUGUACCUUCUUCCAGCUGCUAGAAAGAUCCUUACUGUGAUCCCAGCUGCUGUCAGACAGUACCCAUUGGUCAAGCAGUCUUCAUUGUGUACCUGCCUUCUCUAAGGAGUCUCUGGGAUAACGGACUGUGUGUUGAUGAGCCACUGAUGACCGUCUAAGACAGUAAUGGCUACUCCUUGGUUGUAACUGAAAGGCUGCUUGUGGGUGUUCCCAAUCUCACAACAUAUUUCAGUAACACACAUACAAUACUUCAUACCUUCACAUAUAAUGAUAGCACAUUAAUGUCCUGUUGGAUUGUAUGUCCAACAGACUAAUACUUCUAAAAUGAUACCUCACAAGGCAUACUUUGUACAAAACAUAUCAAUUAUAUGACAGUGAUGAAUAUGGAGGUUUCAAGGUGCUACUUUGAGGUAAAAAGUGUCAGAGUUAUGAUCUACUAAAACAGUUUGAGGAAGGAGGCAUCUUUUUUUACAGUUAAAAUAUCCUGAAAAAAAGCAAACUGAAAUUUGUUGACUUCUCUCUUUUUUCCUGCUUCUUCCGAUCCUUUCCCCUCCCACCCUUCAACUUCAUCACCACAGUAAUUUCUUAGGCCUUAAAUUUUCCUUAAUAUGAUCUCUUUCAUAGAUCAUUCAAAUACUUUGUGAAUGAUGUUAUGGCUACUGAACACAAUAUCCUAGCAGGACUGGCUAAGCAUCAGGGUUUUCCAUUAAUCAACACUACUAAUUAAAAAUGAGUACAUCAGGUGUUCCAUCAUUUUAUGGCAUGCCAGACUCAUUCCAAAUCUAACUUUUAAACACUUAAUUUAAAUCAUUUCUGUACCACCCAUCAAAAAGUUGACUGGAAAGCCAUAUUAAGACUUACAAGAACACUAUAGAAAUGGUCCCAGUGAAAACUAACCAAUCUGCCAUACAAAAGAAAAAUGGCAAAAAAAUCCACACAGGAAGCCAAAAUGGGCAAGGUCACGAACAGAAAUGUUUUCACCAAAUGGCACACACUCCCCAGUGUGUUCAGCAAAGAUAGAUUUCCAAACUNAAGGGGCCUGAUGUCAUAUCUGAUUGGGUGCCCCUUGCUGGCCACCUAAGGGAUUGCUAUGAAGUACCCAGCAAUCAAGUCCCCAAGUAUUUUAAGCCUCCUGUAGCCUAAAUGGAGUCCUGCCACUAACCCAGCCUUAGGGUCCCUAGGCAUACUCUCAGAGUGCAAAAGCUCUAACUCUCCCUUCUGAGAGCUGGAACCUGCUACCCAGUGGCUUAGCUACUGCUUAGCUCAGCCCUUCAGACUCCCCUCACUGCUGUAAACACACCCUCUCCCAAAAUCCCAACAACAUGUAAGCCUUCUGGUUUACCAUUUCUCUCUCAGGCAGCACAUGGCAACUGAGAAG
rnacentral:lncRNA from 1 species